rnacentral:rRNA from 1 species
UACGUAGGGUCCAAGCGUUGUCCGGAUUUAUUGGGCGUAAAGAGCUCGUAGGCGGCUCAGUAAGUCGGAUGUGAAAACUCGGGGCUCAACCCCGAGACGCCAUCCGAUACUGCUGUGGCUUGAGUCUGGUAGGGGAACACGGAAUUCCUGGUGUAGCGGUGAAAUGCGCAGAUAUCAGGAGGAACACCAAUGGCGAAGGCAGCUCGCUGGAACGGUACUGACGCUGAGGCGCGAAAGCGUGGGGAGCGAACAGG